CAGAGGUGGCAAGCGUUGUUCGGAUUUAUUGGGCGUAAAGGGUCCGUAGGCGGUCCGUAAAGUCAGAUGUGAAAGCCCACAGCUCAACUGUGGAACUGCAUUUGAAACUCACGGACUAGAGUAUGAGAGGGGUUAAGGGAAUUCCCGGUGUAAGGGUGAAAUCUGCAGAGAUCGGGAGGAACACCAGUCGCGAAGGCGCUUAACUGGCUCAUUACUGACGCUCAGGGACGAAAGCUAGGGGAGCAAACGGGAUUAGAUACCCCGGUAGUCCUAGCCGUAAACUAUGGUCACUAGGUGUUGGAGGGGUUAAACCCUUCAGUGCCGCAGCUCACGCAUUAAGUGACCCGCCUGGGGAGUACGGUCGCAAGGCUG
rnacentral:rRNA from 1 species